GCCCGCUCCGCCGCCCUGAGCCCUCAGGGGCCGCGGCUGCCGCUCGGGAGCGCGUCCGGAGGCGUGCCACGAGUACUUGCUGAAAUAGUCACCUAGGGAGUAAACACUGCCAGCCAUGGCCGUGCUUUCUGAGAUAUGGAGCCCAGCCCAGUCAGAAGUUUGCCAAGAUAACCUCAUUGCAUCACGUGCCAAAGAGCCUCAAACAGCUGGAGCAUUGAAGGACUGUGACAUUUAAACAAGAUACUGAAAAUGCAAGUGGUGGCUUCUGGUGAGAAGCAAGGACAGUGUGGAGCCUGAAGGUAAACAGCAAAUGUACCUGAAUGCAUUCUAGUCCUGUGAGUGUGUGCAUCUGUCAUAAGUGUGUCACUUGCUAAGAGUCAAAAUAAGUCAAGCAGAGGACUGUAAUUCCUCUCUCCAUUAACUAGAUGUGACACUUCAGCAACUUUUUUCCUGACAUACAUCUGGUUUUCUGGAGCCCCUUAUCCUGAGGGAUCUACUGGACCUCCAGAUGCCCUUCAAGUAUUAGAUACCCACUGUGUGAUUUUCAAGGCAAGGAACUUAGAAGUUGCAAUCAAGUAUCUGUACUGACAGCUUCAUCAUUUGCCUGAUGGAAACUGGAAAACAAACAACCCCCUCUUCCAUUCUGCCACCAGAAGUGAGACUAAUUUAAAGUGCAAGGCAAGACUGUAAAAGUUUACUCCCAAUCCCUGUUCUUGUGGCCUUAAUAACCCUUUCACACGAUUUUUUGACAGCAAAAAAUAAUUGGCAAUAUAAAAGUUUUAAAGCAAUCCAUGGUGCUGUAUCUUCAUUGUCUCAGAGGAAGCACAAUACACAUAAUAAAGAGUAAAAGUUUACUCACUUGAAACUGAGCUUCAUCCUCAUCUGUUCAGCAUUGCAUAGAUUUUAAAUGUAUGAAAGAGGGAUGUAAGAAAGAAAUGAUAACAAAGUCUAUCUGUUCCGCUGUUUCUGUCACCAAAGACAACCAAAAUAAACAUGAUUUGGACUACAAACAUCUAUGGAUGAAUUAAUAUUUUCUGCCUCCUGAAUGUGCUACAGGAGAUCUCUGCAUUGGAAAUGAACCUUGCACUGUCUGGAUAUGCCCAGAGCUCUCUGAGCUACCUGCAGCAACACUAGCCACCAGGCAAAACAUAUUUUCUCGAUUUAUAUUUCCACUCAUUUGUUUAACUUCACUGCCAUCUGCUGUUAAGUAUGAGAACCUGGCCUGGAGGCCUGGGAAAUAGCUGUGAUGUGCCCAGCUUCUCCUAAGAAACAAAUGGAUGCUCUCCUGAGAACAUCCAAUCUUCUGCACAACCACCCAGCAUAUGUGGAAGCAGACUUUAUGAACUAAAAUCUCUUCAGAACUGGCUCAAAUUUGAAAUUCUGCAUGUUGCCAAGUUCGCGGAAAAUUACUGGUACUUGGUAGCUCUGACUUACUGCACGGUACAAGAGCCACUGCUAUCCUUCUCACUUUGGAACUCCCAGCUCACUUUGUCUUCCUGAAAGCAGGCUUGGCUGUUCUGCCUCUCACAGACCAGCACAGAUCUGUUUUCUCUGAGCCACUGUGAAACAUGCUGCUUCACUUCAUACACACUUCCAGAAAUAAAGGCAGGAGAAUCCUGAUGUGAUGUUCUGAUAGAGCAUAUGCACUCAAUUCAUCCUACUUCCUAAAUCAAAAACUUGCAGGAUUUUUUUGGCUAUACAAAGGGAAGAGUAUAGUUGGUGGAUUGACUAGACGACAGCCAGUUAGGGAGGCAAAGACUGACAAAAAAGAAAUGCACUGUCAGAUUUUUCUUUAAAUCUGCAGUACAAAGGGAACUGGGAGACAGUUUCAGCAGAAGAGAUGAAGACAGACAAAUGGCUUUAAGCUCAGUAGAACAGUAGGCAAGGUAAAAGGUUAAUUAUUCCUUUGAUGGAAGUUAGAGUCCCUGAAUUAUUGGGAGCAACUUCAUCUCCUCCCUAGAAGCAAUUCCUGGAUUUAGUAAUUUCUGCUCCCCCUGGCUUCAGUUAUGUCACUGCUCCAUGCUCACUGCUUGGCUUCCCAGCAGCCCCAGGCUUCCCAAAGUGGAAGGAAGUAAUUUCUGCUGCGUUCAGCCAUAGGAAAUUAAGAGUUUGGCAUGGCAUUUUAGUUUACAAGAAGUCUGAAUAAGAGAAGCAACACAUCUCUACAACCACAGGACAUCACAGCCUGGAGUAUGGUGUCAGAACAAGACCAAGAGAUGGGAAGGUGGAAGAGGUUAUAUUCCCUCACAGAGACAGAUUUAGGAAACAGGAUGUAGCUGCAUGCCUAUUUCUUAUAGUGAAUAAUUAACACGGAUCACAAGAAAAGGCAGCAGCAAUGGGCAGCAGAGCUUGCUGGAGUUUUUGACACUUGUUUUGUCAAUGAGCUGUGGCUUUAACAGCCAUUCCAAACAAACCACGCUGGACAGCAUAUGGCAUAACCCAGGUGUUUGUGUUCCUGUAGGAACUUUUCUCCGAAUUUCAAAAGUCAUGGAAGUUACAAGAUAUCCUUUUCCACCUUGUUUCUAGAAGGCACAGUUCCUGGUAAGAGGGCACACUUUGGAGAUAAGCAGAAUAACUCCAAAUGUAUUACAACCAGCCUUUCAAAAUCACAAGGAUAUGAACUACUGGGGACAGUGGAGAAACUGCUGGGAGAUUUCUACAAGAAAAGACUUCAUUAGCCUUGGACUGUAAAAAAAUCCAACAGUCACUGGAGUCAGCCAUGCUGCUGCUUUUGAGGUGACUGAUAAGAAAAAUGCUGACAAUCUUAGAGGUAAACCUUUCUCUUGAGUGCCCCUGCAUAAAGGAUGUGAAGUUUCAUAAUAAGGUAUUGAUAAUUCUUAUUUUUAUUGUAAACCUUGCAAUAUUUGAUAUUUGUUUAUAGACCACCUCCCAGAAUCAAAGGAUUAGGUGAAAGUCUGUUUUAAUUAAGAAACAAAGGUUUUCUUCAGAUUUUUCUCCCCACUUUGUGAGAUGUUGGGAGGAAGCAUAUCGCUUUUCUUUCAUGGUAAUCAUGAGAUGCUCUGUGCUGACUUACUCAGACAUGCUACUCAGUUUUAUGCUAGGUAACAUUCUGAUGAUUAUCUUUACGCUUUGGAGAUGUAAUGCUGCAUUAUCUUACUAAA